rnacentral:tRNA from 1 species
GGCUCCAUAGUGUAGUGGUUAUUAUGUCUGCUUUACAUGCAGAAGGUCCUGGGUUCACACCCCAGUGGAGCCA